AGUGAACGCUGGCGGUAGGCCUAACACAUGCAAGUCGAACGGCAGCACAGUAAGAGCUUGCUCUUACGGGUGGCGAGUGGCGGACGGGUGAGGAAUACAUCGGAAUCUACUUUUUCGUGGGGGAUAACGUAGGGAAACUUACGCUAAUACCGCAUACGACCUACGGGUGAAAGCAGGGGAUCUUCGGACCUUGCGCGAUUGAAUGAGCCGAUGUUGGAUUAGCUAGUUGGCGGGGUAAAGGCCCACCAAGGCGACGAUCCGUAGCUGGUCUGAGAGGAUGAUCAGCCACACUGGAACUGAGACACGGUCCAGACUCCUACGGGAGGCAGCAGUGGGGAAUAUUGGACAGUGGGCGCAAGCCUGAUCCAGCCAUACCGCGUGGGUGAAGAAGGCCUUCGGGUUGUAAAGCCCUUUUGUUGGGAAAGAAAAGCAGCAGGUUAAUACCCCGCUGUUCUGACGGUACCUAAAGAAUAAGCACCGGCUAACUUCGUG
rnacentral:rRNA from 1 species